rnacentral:rRNA from 1 species
UACGUAGGGUGCAAGCGUUGUCCGGAAUUAUUGGGCGUAAAGAGCUCGUAGGCGGUCUGUCGCGUCUGCUGUGAAAACUCAGGGCUUAACCCUGAGCUUGCAGUGGGUACGGGCAGACUAGAGUGCGGUAGGGGAGACUGGAAUUCCUGGUGUAGCGGUGAAAUGCGCAGAUAUCAGGAGGAACACCGGUGGCGAAGGCGGGUCUCUGGGCAGUAACUGACGCUGGAGGAGCGAAAGCCGUGGGGAGCAAACAGG